UACGGAGGGUGCGAGCGUUGUCCGGAAUCACUGGGCGUAAAGGGCGCGUAGGCGGCGCGGAAAGUCGUCGGUGAAAGCUCGGGGCUCAACCCUGAGUCUGCCGGUGAUACUCCCGCGCUCGAGCUCACUAGAGGCAGAUGGAAUUCCGGGUGUAGCGGUGGAAUGCGUAGAGAUCCGGAAGAACACCGGUGGCGAAGGCGGCCAUCUGGCUCGGUACUGACGCUCAGGCGCGAAAGCGUGGGGAGCAAACAGG
rnacentral:rRNA from 1 species